UACGUAGGGUGCGAGCGUUGUCCGGAAUUAUUGGGCGUAAAGGGCUCGUAGGCGGUUUGUCGCGUCGGGAGUGAAAUCCACUGGCUUAACUGGUGGCUUGCUUUCGAUACGGGCAGACUGGAGGUAUGCAGGGGAGAACGGAAUUCCUGGUGUAGCGGUGAAAUGCGCAGAUAUCAGGAGGAACACCGGAGUGGCGAAAGGCGGUCUCUGGGCAUUGACUGACGCUGAGGAGCGAAAG
rnacentral:rRNA from 1 species